rnacentral:rRNA from 1 species
UUGACCUCAAAUCAGGUAGGAUUACCCGCUGACUUAAGCAUAUCAAUAAGCGGAGGAAAAGAAACCAACUGGGAUUACCUUAGUAACGGCGAGUGAAGCGGUAAAAGCUCAAAUUUGAAAUCUGGUACUUUCAGUGCCCGAGUUGUAAUUUGUAGAAUUUGUCUUUUGAUUAGGUCCUUGUCUAUGUUCCUUGAACAGGACGUCAUAGAGGUGAGAAUCCCGUUUGGCGAGGAUACCUUUUUCCUUUGUAGAACUUUUUCGAAGAGUC